UACGUAGGGUGCGAGCGUUGUCCGGAUUUAUUGGGCGUAAAGAGCUCGUAGGCGGUUUGUCGCGUCGGCCGUGAAAUCUCCACGCUUAACGUGGAGCGUGCGGUCGAUACGGGCAGACUUGAGUUCGGUAGGGGAGACUGGAAUUCCUGGUGUAGCGGUGAAAUGCGUAGAUAUCGGGAGGAACACCAGAGGCGAAGGCGGCGAACUGGACAGCAACUGACACUCAACUGCGAAAGCGUGGGGAGCAAACAGG
rnacentral:rRNA from 1 species